rnacentral:rRNA from 1 species
UGGGGAAUAUUGGACAAUGGGCGCAAGCCUGAUCCAGCCAUGCCGCGUGUGUGAAGAAGGCCUUUAGGUUGUAAAGCACUUUAAGCGGGGAGGAGGCUACCUGGGAUAAUACCCUGGAGUAGUGGACGUUACCCGCAGAAUAAGCACCGGCUAACUCUGUGCCAGCAGCCGCGGUAAUACAGAGGGUGCGAGCGUUAAUCGGAAUUACUGGGCGUAAAGCGCGCGUAGGUGGUUAUUUAAGUCGGAUGUGAAAUCCCCGAGCUCAACUUGGGAAUGGCAUACGAUACUGGGUAACUAGAGUGUGGGAGAGGAUGGUAGAAUUCCAGGUGUAGCGGUGAAAUGCGUAGAGAUCUGGAGGAAUACCGAUGGCGAAGGCAGCCAUCUGGCCUGACACUGACACUGAGGUGCGAAAGCAUGGGGAGCAAACA